rnacentral:rRNA from 1 species
GGUAACGGCUCCCCAAGGCAAUGGUACGUAGCCGAACUGAGAGGUUGAUCGGCCACAUUGGGACUGAGACACGGCCCAAAUUCCUACGGGAAGCAGCAGUAGGGAUCUUCCACAAUUGGACGCAAGUCUGAUGGAGCAACGCCGCGUGAGUGAAGAAGGCUUUCGGGUCGUAAAACUCUGUUGUUGGAGAAGAAUGGUCGGCAGAGUAACUGUUGUCGGCGUGACGGUAUCCAACCAGAAAGCCACGGCUAACUACGUGCCAGCAGCCGCGGUAAUACGUAGGUGGCAAGCGUUAUCCGGAUUUAUUGGGCGUAAAGCGAGCGCAGGCGGUUUUUUAAGUCUGAUGUGAAAGCCCUCGGCUUAACCGAGGAAGUGCAUCGGAAACUGGGAAACUUGAGUGCAGAAGAGGACAGUGGAACUCCAUGUGUAGCGGUGAAAUGCGUAGAUAUAUGGAAGAACACCAGUGGCGAAGGCGGCUGUCUGGUCUGUAACUGACGCUGAGGCUCGAAAGCAUGGGUAGCGAACAGGAUUAGAUACCCUGGUAGUCCAUGCCGUAAACGAUGAAUGCUAGGUGUUGGAGGGUUUCCGCCCUUCAGUGCCGCAGCUAACGCAUUAAGCAUUCCGCCUGGGGAGUACGACCGCAAGGUUGAAACUCAAAGGAAUUGACGGGGGCCCGCACAAGCGGUGGAGCAUGUGGUUUAAUUCGAAGCAACGCGAAGAACCUUACCAGGUCUUGACAUCUUUUGAUCACCUGAGAGAUCAGGUUUCCCCUUCGGGGGCAAAAUGACAGGUGGUGCAUGGUUGUCUCAGCUCGUGUCGUGAGAUGUUGGGUUAAGUCCCGCAACGAGCGCAACCCUUAUGACUAGUUGCCAGCAUUUAGUUGGGCACUCUAGUAAGACUGCCGGUGACAAACCGGAGGAAGGUGGGGAUGACGUCAAAUCAUCAUGCCCCUUAUGACCUGGGCUACACACGUGCUACAAUGGAUGGUACAACGAGUUGCGAGACCGCGAGGUCAAGCUAAUCU